AUUCUAUACCCCAUUAUUUGCCCGACCUCUGUCUGCUCAGUUUUAGGUUGGGGUGACCACGGAGUAUAAAAUAACCUCCAUGAANAAGGGGAUAUUUCCCUUAUUAGAGAACCACACUUCCAAGAACUAAUAAAUUAAUUUUCAAUGACCCGAUACCCGAUAAUCGAUCAACGAACCAAGUUACCCUGGGGAUAACAGCGCAAUCCACCCUGAAAGCCCUUAUUAACAGGUGGGUUUACGACCUCGAUGUUGGAUCAGGGUAUCCCAGUGGUGCAGCAGCUACUGAGGGUUCGUUUGUUCAACGAUUAAAACCCU
rnacentral:rRNA from 1 species